UUUUCAUGUACUCUCAAAUCAUUAGGUCGACCAAAUUUAGGCCAAGUCUUUGAAUCCUAUGAAGAGGAGAGGUGAGAGAGCAGUCCCACAAAAAAAACUAUAUUUGAACGGGCUCAAGCACUAUGUAUGAUGACAGUACCUUUUGGUGGGUGUCAUUACUGUUUUUAUGAUAGCAUAAUGUGUUUAUGUUGUGUGCUUUUAUGGUCUGAGUGAAUGUUGUGUCCAAAUUAUUUGAGCAGAUUUGUAACAGGUAAAAUAACCUGUGCAAUAACCUGUAUGUGGCCUAAACAAUGUAAGCUUGGUUAAUCAGCACUAAGAUUCUCUUAAUUUCCUAGAAUAUGUCCACCAGGAGGUUUAACACAGCUGCUACAUUACACGAAAUUAGAAUGUUCCAAAUUAAACCAAUCUGAAAUGGGAACAGUUCUAACAAAUGUGUUGAGGUGCUUUAUGGGAAGAGAGUGUAGCCACCUCCCACUUCCUCGUUCUGUGUUCUGUUUCUGUUUGGAACGUUGUAUUCAUGUCGAUUUAGUUGUCAUUACUGAUCCAUUUUGUGUACAGUGUGUAGAUUUCUAGUUUUUUAUUAACCUUGUAUGUUUUUUCGUUCAAACAGUAAUCGAUUGGAAUCUAGUGCGUCUAAAUCGUAAAACGGCGAGUUGGAACCUGUUAGAAUUUAGGAUUAAAUUUAACAAACAAACCGAGGGGUGAUGGGGCAGGUUAGUGACCCACAUGGUUUCAUCACCCCCUCUAGACUCUGUCAGACAGCAGCGGUGCAGAGAGCUUGAUGCAUGGCGGAGAGAGUCUUGUGUGUGUCUGGGGUCGUGCCAGGAGAGUUGGGGUCAGCUAAAGAACCACUUAGGCUUCUCUCUGCUCUCUGAGCUUGCCCACUGUAUACUGCUGAGGGGAGACUGCUGCCCAUGGGGACCUCCAGAGAAUCCCUACAUUGCCUCAUCCUAUUGGUCCACAGCCAACAGUGUGUCCCUUCCCACCUUCCCACCCAUCCCCCAGGCUGACGCUGUUAGGGGAGAACCUGGCACGCAGUGGAGCCAGCUGAAGGGAGAGGCAGUGAAGAAGAUGCACACAGCACUUUCCACCUCAGAUGGGUUGCGAAGGACUGUAGCUCUCCAGAGAAUGGCCUCUCCCUAGGUACUCAGUGGAAAGAAGUGAGAGAACACCUGGAUGAUUUAGAAUCUGAACUACGUGUCUGCAUUAUGUCUCCGAUGGAGGACAUGUGCUCUCAUGGCUAAUUAGUCAGAGUAGCUGUGACUAACAGAGAGGGAGAUAGGAAUCCAAGGUACGAAAGAAGCUGGGUGUUACUGGGAAGGGUCAUCUUACUGCAAAGAGUCCCAAUGGUCGUGGUGAGGCAAGGCCUGUGGUGACCCAAGAGGAGGCACAGCUGCCACGAUAAAAGGACUUCACACCCAUAACUCCAGACAGAGCAACACGAGAGGUUCAUAAGCAAUAUUCUUUAGAAUUUCCUGAUAAGUUCUAAAGAUCAGUUUUGAUUCAACAUCAGUAUGUUGUUUGUCUGCAUUCAGGAAGUAAGAAUGCACAGGACGUGCCUGCUUCAGGAAGUGACACAAUAUCACAAUAUCAGCGUCUUUGAAGUCACUGAAGGGUUGGUAAUGUUGAAAAUUGUGGUUAUGAACACAGUCUUUAAAAUAUGUAUUUUAAAAUCAAAAUAAACCCAACAUCAUGAGGAUCUGAUUAUUUUUUCGUAGCCAAGUGCCUAUGAAAUGUGACCAUGAUGGUGAAUCGGACGAUGAUAAGAAGCACGUCUCCAAAAACGUAAAGAAAAAUGUCCCUUCAACCAUCAGGUUUUAAUGACAUGUCAGGUUUUAAUGACAUGUUAAAUAAUUAAAGAACAUAAAAUGUGUAGGAUUCUUUGAAAAAUGAAUGACCACUUUGAAGCAUUUCAAUGUGAUGUAACUGUAGUACCAGAUAUAAGAUAAAGGAAAGGGAAAAGCAGUUAAGUAAAAGCAGACAGAUAGACAAGGGGAGGUGGGGACUUUUCAUAGCAACAGGUGGCAUUUUGUUGUAAUUUCUCACUUCCUUUAUUUGCCAUGUUUUAUUAUUUUAUCACAAACCUUAAAAUGUACUUUCAAAAGAAAUGCUGGAAUUAAUAUCUUAAAAGUGAACAUGGUUGAAAGGAUUUCUAUAACCACCUAUAUAGAGGAGAGACAGCUUAACAUUUUCGUUAUAAAAAGAAAAGGUUUGUGCAUUAUAACUUAGAAGUUGUGUCAAACAGUUUAUUAAAAAUCUAUGUUUUUUCACUGCUCUAUUCCCAUUAGCCUUUCGUCAUCCUAAUGUCAUGUUCCCAGAAAAACAACACCCAAAGCAAUUUUGCCUUGCAAGUUGACAGCUGUGGUAAAAUGGUUUCCUCUUGGCAUUACCUCAAUGAGAGUCCAGCAGUAUAGCUAAACAUGACCACUCACUAAAAAACAUAAACCACAAGGUAAAACAAUAAAUCCAUUCAAUCUUAUCUCAUUCAGGAUCAUAUGAAAUACCAGCCCUUCCACCAGAGGACAUUCACCUGCUCUGACACUUGCUGUGGGAAACCAUUCAACUUUAAGAAUCACCUGAUGUAGCACGAGAAAGUGCACAGCAGUGAGACUCAACAUUGCCAUGAUGAUUCUUUAUUGACGUCUUUUGUUUCUGUACAACAUGCAGACAUAAUGGUUAUCUGAGUAGCUAAUUGUAAGACCCUCUGUUUCUUCAGUCCAAUAGAAAGAACCCAGGGCCCUGGCUAUAUAGUAUUUUCUUCCCUGAUCA